rnacentral:snRNA from 1 species
AGCUUUGCGCAGUGGCAGUAUUGUAGCCAAUGAGGUUUAUCCGAGGCGCGAUUAUUGCUAAUUGAAACAAGGGGACAUUUUAACUGAUGACACAGAAAUGUAAGGGCUUCCUGGAUAGCUCAUGUGGUAAGAAUCCUCUGCCUGCAACGCAGGAGG